GGAGAAAAGCAGGGGAUCGCAAGACCUUGCGCUCAUUGAGCGGCCGAUGCCUGAUUAGCUAGUUGGUGAGGUAAAGGCUUACCAAGGCGACGAUCAGUAGCUGGUCUGAGAGGACGACCAGCCACACUGGGACUGAGACACGGCCCAGACUCCUACGGGAGGCAGCAGUGGGGAAUUUUGGACAAUGGGGGAAACCCUGAUCCAGCCAUGCCGCGUGAGUGAAGAAGGCCUUCGGGUCGUAAAGCUCUUUCAGCCGGAACGAAACGGUCACGGCUAAUACCUGUGACUACUGACGGUACCGGAAGAAGAAGCACCGGCUAACUACGUGCCAGCAGCCGCGGUAAUACGUAGGGUGCGAGCGUUAAUCGGAAUUACUGGGCGUAAAGCGUGCGCAGGCGGUUUUGUAAGUCAGAAGAGAAAUCCCCGGGCUUAACCUGGGAACUGCGUUUGAAAUAGAGAGGCUAGAAGGGC
rnacentral:rRNA from 1 species